AACGAACGCUGGCGGCAUGCCUAACACAUGCAAGUCGAAUGAAGUCUUCGGACUUAGUGGCGCACGGGUGCGUAACGCGUGGGAAUCUGCCCUUGGGUACGGAAUAACUCAGAGAAAUUUGAGCUAAUACCGUAUGAUGACGUAAGACCAAAGAUUUAUCGCCCAGGGAUGAGCCCGCGUAGGAUUAGGUAGGUGGUGAGGUAAAGGCUCACCAAGCCGACGAUCCUUAGCUGGUCUGAGAGGAUGAUCAGCCACACUGGGACUGAGACACGGCCCAGACUCCGGCGGGAGGCGGCAGUGGUGAAUAUUGGACAAUGGGCGAAAGCCUGAUCCAGCAAGGCCGCGGGAGUGAUGAAGGCCUUAGGGUUGUAAAGCUCUUUUACCCGGGAAGAUAAUGACUGUACCGGGAGAAUAAGCCCCGGCUAACUCCGUGCCAGCCGCCGCCGUAA
rnacentral:rRNA from 1 species